AUACGUAAGGGGCGAGCGUUGUCCGGAUUCACUGGGCGUAAAGGGCGCGUAGGCGGCGAUACAAGUCAGAGGUGAAAGCUAUGGGCUCAACCCAUAAACGGCCUUUGAAACUGUAUUGCUUGAGUAUUGCAGAGGAAAGUGGAAUUCAUGGUGUAGCGGUGAAAUGCGUAGAUAUCAUGGAGAACACCUAUGGCGAAGGCAGCUUUCUGGGCAAAUACUGACGCUGAGGCGCGAAAGCUAGGGUAGCGAACAGGAUUAGAAACCCGAGUAGUCC
rnacentral:rRNA from 1 species